AUAAUUAAAUCAAAGUAGGUCACCACUGCCAUAAAUUUUUUCGUUAGGAUGUUCAAUAUCUAAAAGUUAAUGAUGUUGUGUUGGAAACCUUAAAGCAGGCAACUUAAAAUAACAACAACUUAUUACAGAUGUUCAAAAUUGACAUGAAUAUCUGCAGGUGACUGACCGUCAGUCACCUGCAGAUAUUCAUGUCAAUUUUGAACAUCUGUUAACAUGGCUGUAUAUCUAAGUUUUCAUAAAACUGCAGUACUAGUAUAAAUACUUUUAGGACUUAAAAGUUUUGAUGUAGUUGCCCAGUCUUAUGUUUCAAGUAUCAAACUGUUAAAUUAUUAUGCAAAAUUUUAGCAACCCAUGUCAUAUUUUGGGGGUGUUUUUCAAUUUUAUGUGUAUAAAUAUUUAUUUGAAUAUUUUUUCUUCAAACAAUCAAUUAUUAUGAAUAUAGGUCCUUUCCUAGUCAUUGAAUAUAUAGUUUGUUACAUUUAACUGCACCUAGAAACAAAGGAUAAAAUUGAGAUUCUAAUGCAACAACGUUUGUAACGUUUAUUUUGAUUGGAUAAUGUCACUUUCUUACAUGGCAUCAAUUGACAAUUGAUGCUAUGGGACGUACGCGCAAGCGCA
rnacentral:lncRNA from 1 species